AUAUAGCUCAGUUGUAUGUAUACACAAAAUCUACACACACAUAUAUCUCAGCCAAUCAGCAGCCAUGAAUGCCAAGCUCUUUUCUCUUUUCUUCAUACUUCUCUUCAUUGUUUCUCCCCUCACAUGUGCUCGGAAACUGUCCGAUGAAACUCAGGGAAGUCAUCCUAUAGGUAACCCUUUGAAAAAAGGGCCCAUAUGUAAUAAUCGUAGAUAUGGCAGCUGUAUUGGUGCCCGACCAAAGCCUCGAAGGUGCGGCUUCAACAAUCGCUCUUGCGGCGUUCCUCCAUCAGAGCCAUCCAAUUAAACCAAGCAAAUAUUGUAUGACGUCGUCUCUAUAAGAUGACGUGUAAUACUUUUAGUUAAAAUAUAAUAUUUUUCUAUAAAUUUAUAUAAAAAAAUUACAUUAUAAUAAAAAGUAUUACACGUCUCAGUAUUGAAAAUAUGAAAGCUGGCCUCAACUUUAUUUAAAUAUUACUUUGUAUAUUUUAGUGAAAAAGUAUUACAUAUCUGCAUAAUAAUAGAGGUGUUAUCAUCAUACUACAUAGUAGUUGAUAGCCUCAGCUUUAUGAAUUUGUCAUUAUAUUUGCUUAUAGAAACACUCCUGCAUGUAUCUUUUUAACCAAUUGC